GAGCAGGGGGCCUUUGCACGUCAGCCCAGGAUAACACCUGACGCACGACAUGUGCAUAAUACAGCACUCCAGGUACAAGAAUAUUCAUCCAAUACAUGUAUAGAAGAGUACAUCAUUGAUGAAUACAAUCAUCUGGCAUAGCCCUACGGCUAUAUAAAUGGCAGCGGAAACUUAUUUAAAUGGCGGCGGAAGUCUUGGUGCACUCACAUGACUGGCAAGGUUACGGCCUAGUACGGCAGUCAAGCAAACACUCCGGGUAUGACCUACAAAACUGGCAUGACACGCCAGGUCAGUACAUUGAAUGUACUUGCAAGACAACCAAAUAUAUAGCAUCCAAACAAGCAGAAGACAAGGCGAGAACCGAGCGCAUGCAACAGCCUACCUCAUAUCAAUUGCUAAACAUGGCAUGAUAGAGAUCAACUAAGCCUGAACAAAAUCAUAGCAUCUACUAACAUGGUAGUAAUCAUGGCAUAACAAAACAUGCUUCUAACAGGGUAAUAGCAAAACAUAACAUAUCAUCCAAUCAUGGCAUAAUUUAACAUAUAAAUCAAAUCCUGGCAUGGCAUCAUGAAACUAUGUUGAAAAUAAACUACCGAAUAUAUCCAAUGCAGACAUAUCAUGUUAACUUUAUGCAACCAUCUUCUGUUUUAUCAUGGUUCUUUAAAUGCAAAAAAUGAUAUAUCACUCAUGCAAAGCAACCCAACUUGUGAUCUUUCCAACGGGUUGCCUCUCAACCGAAUGGUGAUCUUUUCGGCAAUCACAACCAUGACCAACACUGGGUCUCAAACGGUGAUCUUACCGGUGAUCACAACCAUGACCAAUACUUGGUCUCCAACACUCACCGAGACCUCGUCUCGUGAUCAUAUAAAAACAUUGUCAUGACUUCUCACGACCAUCUCAUAGUCCAAGUCACCAUAUUCUGGUUAUCACAUCUUUAUUUACCAACUUAAUUAUUUCAGGUUUAUCCUCCAUUUCGACCAAGACCUGAUAGUGGGACCAUACUACAAACUGUGUUGCUAUCGAUAGACUUUAUAUACACUCUGCAGAGGUAGCACACUAUACCCACACCAAGGAACCCAUGGCCUCGUCAUCCCAUUCGGGUGGACCAACGACAUUUCGACGAAACCGACCUACUGCCAUGACACUCUCCCGGCCACUCCGACCCACUCCCAACUGGGCUAGUCCUGGGUGGCCCCGUGUCUACCAAAGACACAACGACCACCGUCGUGGCCAAAACGUCCCUCACGGGGACCGGUACCAAAUUUUUUGACAAGGGGCACACAAGGUUGUGUCCACCUACCCGAUCAGGGUAAGCAUGCCCAUAACCUUCCCUAGCUGGAGGCACCGGCGAGAGGCACGACAAUAGAUCGCAUUAAGGCCUCCCCAAAAAGGCAAAUGUGGAUGCACUGAAAAUGUUCGAUUUAGUGGCACUAUGACUCGAUCCCAUCAAUGACGGAGGAGGUUUGUUAUUGUUAAGUCAUUUUAAUUCCUUCUACACAUCAUGAACAUGAAUGCAACGAUGAGCAUGAAGCAUACAAAUGCAUGAACAAAAUAUUGAACUUCUCAAGUGCACGACUAUAGGAUAAAGAACAUGACAAUACCAAGUAAUAGCAUAUCAACGGUGCAUUACAAUCCUCAUAACAUUUUAUAAUGAUGACAUGCAAAUAAAGUAGAGUAGUGACAUGGCAUUAUCAAUAACAACAUUCUAAGUAGCAUGGCAAACGAUAUCGUGAAAACACAAGCAUGCCUGACAGGCAUAAUGGAAUAACUGCAGACGAAAAUGAUAUGAAACAACUUCAACUAUACUCACACAAGGUGCAAGCAAAGUCAACAUGCAAGUUCGGGGCUCAUGAUAAGAGGUUGGCUUGCCUGGGGGUCGAUAAAUACUCCGGGAAAAAGUGCGGAACGAUCGCGGAAAAGUUUGCCAGAAACAGUUCUCUCUCAGAGGGGGCUGUUUACGGGCAAGGGCAAAAAGGUCAAUUUCACUGUGUGAAAACAUUAUGAAACUGAUACCAACGGAACAGGCUCGACGAAACGAAGAGUGGGCUUUGGAAUCACCUGAUUUGGAGCUGCGGGUAAAAAUAUAUGAUUGUUUAACUACCAGGGACCUAUCUGUAAAUCAUUACAAACUGGCCCCUGACAGAAAAACAAGUCACGCCUUUCUCAGAAAUACGCUUUCCAGAGAGGAAAGCUCAUUCUGGCCCGAAGAAGAGGAGGAAUACGCUUUUGGCUUAGGGAAAGCGCACUCUCCGGAAUACGCCUUCGGGGUUCCAAAAACGGAAAACGGCCCAAGGCGCCGCCACUUAACUGACGUGGCACUGGGCCAGGCCCUUCGGUCGCCGACAGGUGGGGCUGUGCGAGGAGGGGCCCGCCUAGCCCUGGCGUCUUCAACCUCAUGCUCGUGCCUGGCCGAGGGAGGAGGGCACCCCGACGGCGAUUGCCGGCGAUUACGAACACCGUUCGCGACGGCCGUGCUACCUAGAUGCUCAGCAUGAGGAGGCGCAUCUCGGGGUGGUAGCCUCUGCCGUCGACGAGCGUUGUAGCGGAAGCAGCGGGGCACGCAGCGGAGAGGGGCUUCGGGCUUGGUGGACAUGGGGCUCCGGUGAGAGAAAUGGAGGGGUGGCGGGUCGGGAAGGGUCACCGGAGAGUGGCGUGUCCAUCCAUGGGCUCAGACUGGGCAGGGGGCGGCUUGAGAGGGGGUUUGGGUGCGGAGGCGGAGGGCGAACUCUGGCUAAAUUGCCGGGCUCCGGUGAGGGAUUCGGCCGGGCACGGGUGUGAGAGGGCUCCAGAGGGAGAGGGGAGGGGGCUGGCUUGCUCGGAGAAGGCUCGGGCUGGCUAUUUAUAGCCGAGGCAAGGUGGGGAGGAGGUGGUAUGCGGCGGGCGAUGUGUCCACGCGUCGGCAAUGGUGCAGUGUCGGCAGGCGCGGCCAAGGCUCACGUGAAGUGGCUGGAAGGCGACGAGGGGGGAUCAAGACGAGCAGCAAAGGCUCACGGAGAUGAAAGGCACUCGGGAACGAAAGGAGGAAGCGGACAAAGACAAGGAAGAAGGCGAUGGCCACAGUAUCACACUGUUUGGUCAUUGGCACGGCUCGCCGGAGAAGAAAACGAAGGGAGCCAGAGGUCCAGCGAGAAGAGGACGGCGAGGGGGACCUGUUGGGCAAUGAUGGCGAGGCCAGAGCUGGUCAGAGCAGCGCUGCCGACGAGAACAGUGGCUAGACCACCGUUUUGGUUGGCUGCCCUCGUGGUCACCACAGACAAGGCGCGCUCUGGAGUUUUUACUGAGGCCAGCUCAUGUCUACCGCGUAGUCCUUCGUAACUUGAGUGUUACUACGGUAAAGAAACAUGCAAAGACAAAUUGAGCUGAGUAAACCAAGCUCCACAAGUUUGCUGUUGCAAACUUGGCCACACUCCAGAUAUUAAACUAGAGAGGGUAAAAGUUAAAUUUGAUGUCUGGGAGGCUUUGGGUAUCAAGGACUACGGUCCUGGUAAUUUUGAGGUCGUUUGGUCAAGUAUUUAGCAUAGUUGCUGUACAACUGCUAAAUCUGACCCAGAAAUUGAAUGAUGAUCAAUCACUCACUAGGAGUGAUGGAUUUAGCUGAAACUUGGCAAAGCUUGAUUAUUUGGACAUACAAUGAUGCUGUAAAAAGUUCAUACCAAAUGGACUUACCAAAAUGGUACUUCCUUCACAGCUAUCAUUUCUGUCCAAAAACUUCAGAAAAGUCCUCAGGGCAAUUGGCUAGAUGAAAUGAGCCAAAAUCUUGUGGAGAUAGGUUAUAUGGAUAUGGGAAGCCCUGCAAAUAUUUUCAGCCACAAUGGAGCAAGAUAAAAUGCACUAGCUUCACAAACUGAAAAAUUGGACAGAAACCAAGAAUUGCUCCUGUGAUCAGAUAGUUCAAUGAAAUGAACUGAAUUUGGGUGGAGGCUAAUGAUUUUAGAUAGUUGAGAGGAUGGAAAUGUUUCAUCCCAUUUGGAAACACUAUGAAGGUACUUCCUUCACAAAGUUGCAUUCUGGUCAGAAACUUUGAAAAAUAGCACAGGGAGCUAGGAUGAAUGGAUUGAGCUCAUAUUUGGCAUACAUGGGUUAUUUAUCGAGGUUAAUCACCCUGCCAAAUUGCAGCUCUAUUGGAGUUAGGAAUAAAACGCUUCCUUUGCAAAAUUUCAGAGAAGGCAGAAACUUACAUUGGAUCAUGUGCCAAAUUUUUGAACUGAGGAACAUGAGAUGAGGAUGGAACUAGUUAUUAUAUAGCAAGUACAAGCUCCACAAUUUAUGUAGGAAUUUUCCCUGCUAUAAAAAUAGUAGUUCCUUUGGAAAAUGGCAGAAAUGCAAUAUUGGCAUUAAAUAGGAAAAUGCAAUUUUCCUUAUUUAAUUAUGUCCAAUACAUUUGCCAGAGCUUGGAUUAGACAUAAGUAUCAACCCCACCAAUUCUCAUGAAUUUAGGAGAUGGCUAGCUAUGGCUUUGGAAUUUAUUCCUCAGAAAAGCAAGAAAAGGAAUAAAUCACAAUUCAAAAAUAUUGCAUGGGACUUAGCAAUAUUUUUGCAUAUCCAAGGUUCAGAAAGGUAGAAUGGUCUCUUGGAACAAUUGGAAUGAUCAACAGAUCAAGGAAAAUGAUGGCUCCUUCGUAAGCACAAAGGGCAUAUCCAAAUUCCAAAAAAUUGGACUCAGGGUUUGAGAGGGUUUGAGAUGAUGCAGAUGAGGGCUUGCCCACUGAAUAAUACAUGAGCAAGGUUUUUGAAAGAUUGAAAAUGACAAGAAUUGUCAGUGUCAUCUUAGCAAACUCAGGAGAAAAUUUUGAAACAUGAGUGCCAGGAAGGAAUAACAUCACAAGAAUUGAUAACCCAAUUUUGGGGCUGUUACAACUCUUCCCCCCUUAAAAAGAAUCUCGUCCUUGAGAUUUCUAGGGUUACAAGACAAAUGGAAGAAUAACCACUCCGGGGGAAAACCUCGGGGUUAAUUUUAACCCUUUGGUCGAAUUCAAACGAGAUAGGGGCACCGAUAAUUGGUACACCCGGGAAUGGAUAUGGCAAACCUGGAUAUACCCACCGCUAGGGGCACUCAAGAUCGGACUCCCGAAAAAUACUGUAUGCACCCAAUGAACAGUGGUUUCACCUGCUGACAUGUGGGUCCAGGGCCCACUGGCAGCCUCCUUCUUCUACCUCUAGUUUGCUGCUUCUUCUUCUUCGUCGCUGCUCCGCGUGCGGCUUGGCGCAGCGCGCAUCUAGGUCCUAGGGCGAUGAGGACCCUAGUGCCAUAGUGUGCGGCGUGCAUGGCGCCAGUGCACCGAGCACUCACGUCGCGGGCUAGCACCUUGUCGGCACUGCUCGCGGAUUCGCCUCCUGGAAGCCGGUGAUCGGGCGACGAGAGGUUCUCCUAGACCUCGCUCACCGUACACCAGGGUUGGGCUAUAAAGAUGGCAGCGCGGCUCUCCUCCAACACACCAACACAAUGCCGCUCUACUACCUCUUUGGUUUGGACGAGAUCGAACCGAGCUCCUUCAGUGAAGAAAUGUUCUUGGCGGCGCUGUGGUUAUUCCUCGUGGCGCUGCUAGGAACGCUCAUCGGCUCGUCGAUCCUCCUGCUGAUACUCAUCAGGAAUGAUCGGGCUCGGGAGAACGCGCGGCUGGCUGCGGGUGCUCGAGAUGCGGGAGAAGAUGGUGCUCCACGUGGUCCUUCGCCACGCUUGAUCCUCCGCCGCUCUGUGUCGGUGGAGUAAUCACGUGUGGCGGUGGAGCAGGGUGGCGACUUGUUUGUGCCUCGCAAGGCACAGAGGAUGGUGGGGGGGAGGGGGUCCAUGUGCAGGAGAGGUGGCUACGCCAGCUCCGGAAGCACACUAGGGUACGGGAAAAUUUCGCGGAUUGCUCCAUGAAUAGUAGAUGUCGAGGUAGAAUCGGAGUUGAAAUCUGUAUCGGGGUAGUUGUACUGGAUGAAAUAAAGUGGGUAGUGUUUCCACCAAAAAUGGAAUCGGGAGAAAGAAUUAGAGACGAGGAAUUUCCAGGCGGAAAUGCCUCUGCGAGGUUCUGGAUUUGAAAAUCCGUCAUACUGGGUAUGCCCAGAUAGAUAGGGAUAUGUGACUUUGCAUUCCCCCGAGUACUGCCCGAAUGUACUCAGGGGUGAACCGGGUAUGCGUUUAGUAUGCAGAAUAAUCUAAACUAGCAAACAGACAGAGGCAAUAAACAUGCAAUGAAAAACAUAGCAGACAAAUCAUUCUAAGGUGUUUUAAUGCUAGUGGGUAUAUAUAAUCCUAGUAUAUAUAUACCUACACCAGCGCACAUUUUAUUAGAGACACGGGAUGAGCCGAGGUUGUUUUUAGUGUAUGUGCUCUACUGAUUAAAAUUUUGCUAACACACAUUGCCAACCUUGUCAAACAUCUCUUUUUGACCAACACAACAAUCAAAAGCAAGAAAUCAUGCAUAAACACAUCACAGUUUACAAACGGUGCAAGCACGAGCGCUCUACACGCUAAAUGAAACUAUUCACUUCGGGAUACAUGGUUCUAUCCUCAUAUCGGGAAGGAACUGACAUACUGACCUACUUGUAGAAACAACUGGUUGCGCGGCUGAGAUCAAGCAGAGGGCUUGCUUUGCUGGGGUUCUCCAGGAGGACGAAGAAUGAGCCAAUCCCCUUCUUCAUCGUCUGAGAUCACUAUGGGUUGGGGUUCGGCCACUGGGGUGCAGCUGAAAUUGAUCCAAGCAUAUGCUACUGGUGGAUCCGGAAAAGAGUCUUGUUGAGGGUGAUGAUAUUUGGCCAAGGCCAUAAGACCGGCUGAGAGGGUAGCACUGGCUCGGAGAGCGUUGUGUGAACCGCUUGAGAGGCGAACUUACGAGCCUCACGAUAAGCUUCCUUGACAACUCGCACUGCAUUGUUGUCCAAGGUUCUGAAUUCGGCAAGCAUCCUUGAAAUCAUCAUUCCCUGGGUAGUGAUAUACCGCACCAGGCGAGCGAUUGCGGGGUCAUUCCCAUGGAUAGAGGGGGGUGGUUGAAUUCCUGUCGCUGUAGCAAUGGGGAAGAAAGAGAACUCUCUUCGAUCUGCCACUUGCGGGAACUUGGUUCGGAGGUAUAGGAUUGCCUCCACAGCAGCAGCCUGAAUGGCCAAAUCAGUGGUAGGCAUGGCUCUACCCUAAAAAACCAGCGGCUGGCCAUCUGCUGCGGGACCGGGGCUGAUGUGCACCCUUGCAUCAUAGGGAUGAAGGUGAGGAACGGGUGUUAACUGGAACACCAGGUAGUCGGGGCUAGCAUCAUAGCCAAAGGCUUGGGUGAGCAUCUCAGCAAGAAGGGGUGGAAAGCCAGUAUGGUUGACAGCGCUUGUGCGGUUGUGAAACUUGGUAGUUUUGAGGGUGCUAGCCAUGACUGGAGUGUUACUAGCUAGGCUUCUCUGUAGGGACAUGGCGGAAUGAGGAGUGAGCGAUACGGCUAGCGGAAAGGGGACUUUUAUAGGCAGCUAUGCGGGACAUGCCCGCAGGGUGUGGCCCCUUGUCCUUAAUGGCGAAAGGGCAAGCAGUGCGGCCGACCAGAAAGGAUGUGGCUGCUAUACAUUCCACGGAUAACUAGGCAUGGACAGUGGGGUGAGGACGUGUCGGUUCCGACUGCGCCACCUGUGGAUUAACAGUGGCCAUGCCGGUUGCCAGGGAUGAGUCAAAUCCCUUUGGGUUAUUACGGUUUAAUGGUAGCGGUGAUCUAACACUAGGAUAACCUAUGCCAGCCUGGAAGCUCUGAUACCAUGUCCUAUGGCACCCUAAUCCACAUGGAGCAGGGGGCCUUCGCACGUCAACCCAGGAUUACACCUGACGCACGACAGGUCCAUAAUACAACACUCCAGGUACAAGAAUAUUCAUCCAAUACAUGUAUAGAAGAGUACAUCAUUGAUGAAUACAAUCAUCUGGCAUAGCCCUACGGCUAUAUAAAUGGCAGCAGAAACUUACUGAAAUGGCGGCGGAAGUCUUGGUUUGACAGCAUAACAACUCUGGCUGGGCUCCACAACUCACAGGAGUGGCAAGGUUACGGCCUAGUACGACGGUUCAAGCAAACACUCCGGGUAUGACCUACAAAACUGGCAUGACACGCCAGGUCAGUACAUUGAAUGUACUUGCAAGACAACCAAAUACAUAGCAUCCAAACAAGCAGAAGACAAGGCGAGAAUCGAGCGCAUGCAACAGCCUACCUCAUAUCAAUUGCUAAACAUGGCAUGAUAAAGAUCAACUAAGCCUGAAAAAAAUCAUAGCAUCUACUAACAUGGCAGUAAUCAUGGCAUAACAAAACAUGCUUCUAACAGGGUAAUAGCAAAACAUAACAUAUCAUCCAAUCAUGGCAUAAUUUAACAUAUAAAUCAAAGCCUGGCAUGGCAUCAUGAAACUAUGUUGAAAAUAAACUACCGAAUAUAUCCAAUGCAGAC
rnacentral:lncRNA from 1 species